GGUUUUAGAUGUUUAAAUGAAUCACACUUUGUCUUAAAUAGGAUAGGGUAUGUUUAUAUGGAUGUCAAAGCAUGCCUGAUGUUGAUAUGACUCUGAAUAUCUGUUCAGAAAUGUGGCUCCUCAGCCUGAUGGCCUGUCUGGUUAAGACACUGCUUCUGCCAUCCCAUCCCCCGUGCCAUUCCCCUACCCCCCACUGCCCCCCUCUCUCACUUGUACACUUGGGAUUUUUCCGCUUCUGUCCCUGGGCAGCCUCAGUGACCAGGCUCAAGAGGUGUGUCCUGGCUGUGCUGUACAUCUGUGUGCUUAACCCCUUAGCACAGCACCUAUGUUAUAACCUUACUGUCACCAAAAUGUUAAUAUGUAUGUCUUAAUCUGUUACUCUGCACUGUCAUAGCAAUGUUGUUAUGAUGUAGUUUUCAGCAAAUAGUGAAUAAGCCCGCUGGCAACCCCAUCUGCACUGCAGUAAGAGGCUACGGAAUGCUUUUUUGGGGGGUGCAACACCCAUCGCCAUUUUUUUUUUUUACAAUACCACUCCACCAGGAAAAAUGUCUAAUUGUUUGCCUGUCUAUUUAUUCAUUCUUUUUUCUUUUCUUUUGUACAAGGCAAGUUGCAGGAAGCAGCUGAAGUAAAGGAAGCCAAGAGCAUCCUCAUUCACAUCAAGGACAGAGACUGUGUGGCUCUGGAGGUGCAGUACCACAGAAGUUGCUACAGAGAGUACACAAGGUUUUUGAGUGAGCCUGUCAGAGCAGAGAAAGAACAGAUUGGGCCAACAUUUGAUCUGAGCUACAAGUUAUUCUGCGAGAGGGUAAUCCGCUAAAGGCUACUGAUCAACCAAGAGGUGCUGAGGAUGAGCCAACUGAGGAAGGCCUUUAUUGCCCUUGUGCAGUCAAGUGAAGGUGUUGAUGCUUCAACCUACAGGCAGGAUAUAUUGAAGAAGAGGCUCAGUCGUGAUUUUCCUCAGCUAGUGUUCCACACCCCCGCCAAACGCAACACAUCUGAACUGGUUUUUGCUGAGAACUUGUCGACGAAUGCAGUCUUGGACUUGUUACCAUCAGGUGCGGAGACGACUCAGUCCAGCGAAAUGAGCCAGACAGACAGCGACACAGAAAGGAGGAAGUCAAAGCAACCAACCACAGCAGAGGAGACACGGACACUUUACACAGCAGCUUUGCUUUUGAAGAGGCUGCUUAGUCACAGUCCUGGCAUGUCAUGCCCAUGGCCCCCAACUGCAGUAAACUUCAAUCUCACUGAAGUCAUUUGCUGUGGCAUGCGCAAAAGAUGUGUACCUGGAUGCUUUCACACAGUUCAUGAAAAUGCCGGUUCAUGUGUAUGCCACUUGUUUUGAUUUUUUUAUUUGUUGUAUAGUUAUUAGUGAAUAA